rnacentral:piRNA from 1 species
UGGGCCUUGUGACUUCAGUGCUGACAGAAAU